CCUGAAAGAGAAGCCACCUCAGACAUUAAGUCCAGGAGAAAAGUAACUCUUGAUGCUCACUCCACCGUGACAACCUGACCGUUGAGCCAAGAGCUAUUAUGGAGAGAUUUUGCAGGGUCGGAGAGGUGUUUGUGUGAACAGGAGUUCCAGAGAAAAGUGGUCAGCCUCUGCUGCCUUCCUUUUAUCACCAUUACCAGCCACGGCACCGCCCUGGAGAAAUGCCGACCCCGGUUUCUGUAUCAGAGUUGGUACUUUUCAAAGGGAACCAAGAAUUUUAACACAAGGCUGGGUAAACAUGUGCACGGAGUAAAUGCAGGCUUGGAGCAGAGAUCGACAAAUCCUGCCAAACAGAGCUGCUGUUGGCCCACACUGGGCAGCAGCGCCAUUCUGGGGUCUUGUCCUCCUCUGGCUCUGACUAGUGAUGCUGAGGAGGACACAGCCCUGACCCGGUAGUCACCGAGACCUGUUUACUUCCUUACCCGCUGUGCUCACCUGCUCCCUCUCCACGUGCUUCCCCGAGUGGGCUGUACCAGGUGGCUGCUCCCUGGCUUUCCUUGUUCUCAGUUUUAAGAGCAGAAUAAAGGCCUGGAGAUGAAUGCCGGACCA
rnacentral:sRNA from 1 species